UUAAGUUUUUACUAUAUACAUAUACGGAAAAUCAAUGACCACCUGGGGCGGGGCCAAUUUUGACCCUAGGGCUUUUAUUUGAACAAACUUGGUAGACACCCAUUAGAACAUGUUUCAUGCUAAAUAUCUUAGCUCUAGCUCUUUGGGUUUUUUAAAAGAAAUUUUUUAAGUUUACUAUAUGCAUUUAGGGAAAAUCAAUGACCCCCUGGGGCGGGGCCAAUUUUGACCCCAGGGCUUUUAUUUGAACAAACUUGGUAGACACUCACUAGAAGAUGUUUCAUGCCAAAUAUCUAAGCUCUAGCUCUUUGGGUUUUUUAAAAGAAGAUAUUUAAAGUUUUUUUCUUUUGGUUGCCAUGGCAACCA